UAGGGAAUCUUCGGCAAUGGGGGGAACCCUGACCGAGCAACGCCGCGUGAGUGAAGAAGGUUUUCGGAUCGUAAAGCUCUGUUGUUAAGGAAGAACGAGUGUGAGAAUGGAAAGUUCAUACUGUGACGGUACUUAACCAGAAAGGGACGGCUAACUACGUGCCAGCAGCCGCGGUAAUACGUAGGUCCCGAGCGUUGUCCGGAUUUAUUGGGCGUAAAGCGAGCGCAGGCGGUUAGAUAAGUCUGAAGUUAAAGGCAGUGGCUCAACCAUUGUAGGCUUUGGAAACUGUUUAACUUGAGUGCAGAAGGGGAGAGUGGAAUUCCAUGGGUAGCGGUGAAAUGCGUAGAUAUAGGGAGGAAAACCGGUGGCGAAAGCGGCUCUCUGGUCUGUAACUGACGCUGAGGCUCGAAAGCGUGGGGAGCGAACAGG
rnacentral:rRNA from 1 species